ensembl:misc_RNA Metazoa_SRP Metazoan signal recognition particle RNA
GCCGGGCGCGGUGGCUCACGCCUGUAAUCCCAGUACUUUGGGAGGCUGAGGUGGGCGGAUCACCUGAGGUCAGGAGUUCAAGACCAGCCUGACCAACAUGGAGACAACUCAUCUCUA